CUAUCACUCUGGGAUGGACCUGCGGUGCAUUAGCUAGUUGGUAAGGUAACGGCUUACCAAGGCGAUGAUGCAUAGCCGAGUUGAGAGACUGAUCGGCCACAAUGGAACUGAGACACGGUCCAUACUCCUACGGGAGGCAGCAGUAGGGAAUCUUCCACAAUGGGCGCAAGCCUGAUGGAGCAACACCGCGUGAGUGAAGAAGGGUUUCGGCUCGUAAAGCUCUGUUGUUGGAGAAGAACGUGCGUGAGAGUAACUGUUCACGCAGUGACGGUAUCCAACCAGAAAGUCACGGCUAACUACGUGCCAGCAGCCGCGGUAAUACGUAGGUGGCAAGCGUUAUCCGGAUUUAUUGGGCGUAAAGCGAGCGCAGGCGGUUGCUUAGGUCUGAUGUGAAAGCCUUCGGCUUAACCGAAGAAGUGCAUCGGAAACCGGGCGACUUGAGUGCAGAAGAGGACAGUGGAACUCCAUGUGUAGCGGUGGAAUGCGUAGAUAUAUGGAAGAACACCAGUGGCGAAGGCGGCUGUCUGGUCUGCAACUGACGCUGAGGCUCGAAAGCAUGGGUAGCGAACAGGAUUAGAUACCCUGGUAGUCCAUGCCGUAAACGAUGAGUGCUAGGUGUUGGAGGGUUUCCGCCCUUCAGUGCC
rnacentral:rRNA from 1 species